rnacentral:rRNA from 1 species
CCUACGGGAGGCAGCAGUCGAGAAUCAUUCACAAUGGGGGAAACCCUGAUGGUGCGACGCCGCGUGGGGGAAUGAAGGUCUUCGGAUUGUAAACCCCUGUCAUGUGGGAGCAAAUUAAAAAGAUAGUACCACAAGAGGAAGAGACGGCUAACUCUGUGCCAGCAGCCGCGGUAAUACAGAGGUCGCAAGCGUUGUUCGGAAUCACGGGGCGUAAAGCGUGCGUAGGCUGUUUCGUAAGUCGUGUGUGAAAGGCGCGGGCUCAACCCGCGGACGGCACAUGAUACUGCGAGACUAGAGUGAUGGAGGGGGAACCGGAAUUCUCGGUGUAGCAGUGAAAUGCGUAGAUAUCGAGAGGAACACUCGUGGCGAAGGCGGGUUCCUGGACAUUAACUGACGCUGAGGCACGAAGGCCAGGGGAGCGAAAGGGAUUAGAUACCCCAGUAGUC